rnacentral:tRNA from 1 species
UUAAAAAUAGUAUAAGUUAUUGAUAACUAGAAAUUUUCUUGCUGACAAACAAUUUAAAUAACUGUUAGAAAAGUUCUCUUUGUUAA